UACAGAGGUCUCAAGCGUUGUUCGGAUUCAUUGGGCGUAAAGGGUGCGUAGGUGGCGCGGUAAGUCGGGUGUGAAAUCUCGGAGCUUAACUCCGAAAUUGCAUUCGAUACUGCCGUGCUCGAGGACUGGAGAGGAGACUGGAAUUCAUGGUGUAGCAGUGAAAUGCGUAGAGAUCAUGAGGAAGACCAGUGGCGAAGGCGGGUCUCUGGACAGUUCCUGACGCUGAGGCACGAAAGCCAGGGGAGCAAACGGG
rnacentral:rRNA from 1 species